rnacentral:rRNA from 1 species
GACGAACGCUGGCGGCGUGCUUAACACAUGCAAGUCGAACGGAAAGGCCCUGCUUUUGUGGGGUGCUCGAGUGGCGAACGGGUGAGUAACACGUGAGUAACCUGCCCCUGACUUUGGGAUAACUUCAGGAAACUGGGGCUAAUACCGGAUAGGAGCUCCUGCUGCAUGGUGGGGGUUGGAAAGUUUCGGCGGUUGGGGAUGGACUCGCGGCUUAUCAGCUUGUUGGUGGGGUAGUGGCUUACCAAGGCUUCGACGGGUAGCCGGCCUGAGAGGGUGACCGGCCACAUGGGGACUGAGAUACGGCCCAGACUCCUACGGGAGGCAGCAGUGGGAAAUAUUGCGCAAUGGGCGGGAGCCUGAUGCAGAAACGCCGCGUGCGGGAUGACGGCCUUCGGGUUGUAAACCGCUUUCGCCUGUGACGAAGCGUGAGUGACGGUAAUGGGUAAAGAAGCACCGGCUAACUACGUG